CUGAAAAUUAAGCUAAACUGCAAAUCGGACUUCCCAUGGCUCUCUGCCUUUUUCUGUAAUCUCUUUCUCUCUGCUCCGGUGAUAUUAGCCGGUAUGUUAGCCGAAUUUAAGAGAUUAGUUUGAGUUAAGAGCUUAGAGUAAGCUUAGAUGCAACACUUCACCUUUCUUUCCAUUUGUCUCGCUCCGUCUCUCUGCUGGAUACCAGGUUCUUGAAAAAAGCCUUUAAAGAAUACAGUUCCUAAUGAAAUAGUUUUUCUACAUUAUUCACAUAAUUAUGAGUUCUACAAUAUGAGACAACAGAACAAGGAAUUGCUGUUUAGAAAAUGAGUGUAAGGCAUUCAAAAGAGGAGAACUGAAGGGAUAUAGACUAACUCUGUACUGGAGAAGAAUUCCUGCCAUUAAAACGACAUGAAACUAGUUCUGCUGCUGCUGCUUCUGGGGUCCUUGCAAGCGGUGUUCACUCAAGUGGCUAUGCCUGCAUUUACUGAAAGAACAGCUGUGAAGGAAGGUCUAGGAAGUGGUCUGUAAGAGGUGGAACAGGAGUAUGAACUAGCAGAGACGUACUGGUCUGGGACAGCCCCCCUUUGUUUCGGAGGUUGUAAAGGCAGACAGAGGGAGCUGAAAAGAGACAACUGUGGAGAUUCUGACUGCUGCUGGGUGGGAUUUAAAUCCCUGUGUAGAGUUAAUUGUGGAAAGCCUGAUGUGGACUUUAAUGGGAUGGUGUAUGGGAGUGAUUGGUGGGUGGGUUCUGUAGUGCGGUACGACUGCAGACCAGGGUUCGUGUUGGUGGGAGAUCCUGCUCGAGCCUGUCAGUCCAAUGGGAUAUGGACGCCCAAACCAUCCUGUCUUAGAGUGUGUUAUCGUGGCCGGGUUGAGAUCAAUGAGAAGGACAUCGACGGGACAUGUUCGUCUACCUGUCCUGAUGCUAAAAGCUAUGCAGUCCCUCUGAACCACAAAUGCAGCCGUAUUGAGAACUGCAGAACUAAAGAAUCAGGCUGGAAGCACUGGUUUACAUGCUGCAAUUAAUGCGACUGUGACUGCUUCACUCCCUGUGCUUUACAGGAUAGAAGACAGUGAAUCUGUAUUCAUUAUCCUCUGGAAACAACAGAAUUAAUUUUUAUUUGAAUGUAAAGAGAGAGGCUUGACAUGUAACCAUAACAGAACUUGUCAAACUAAAAGCAUUUUAUGCAUCUCUAGAUUCUAAAUAUCUUCACAGUUGGAGACCUUUAUUUUAAUCACUGACUACAUAACCCCAGAUGUUCGGAAAUGUUACUGUUUUCCCUUAUCUGUGUUAAGUAGCACAGAUGUUUAAUGUAUAUUUGAUUUUGAAGUAAGUUAGUCGCUGUGGAAAGAUCAGAGAAACAUUUCUGUUCCAGUAUUAAACUAUUGUAGAUCUAAUGAAAUUAUUAGUUUA